GAUGGACCCGCGUUGGAUUAGCUAGUUGGUGAGAUAACAGCCCACCAAGGCGACGAUCCAUAGCCGGCCUGAGAGGGUGAACGGCCACAUUGGGACUGAGACACGGCCCAAACUCCUACGGGAGGCAGCAGUGGGGAAUAUUGCACAAUGGGGGAAACCCUGAUGCAGCAACGCCGCGUGAGUGAUGAAGGUUUUCGGAUCGUAAAGCUCUGUCUUUGGGGAAGAUAAUGACGGUACCCAAGGAGGAAGCCACGGCUAACUACGUGCCAGCAGCCGCGGUAAUACGUAGGUGGCGAGCGUUAUCCGGAUUUACUGGGCGUAAAGGGAGCGUAGGCGGAUGAUUAAGUGGGAUGUGAAAUACCCGGGCUCAACUUGGGUGCUGCAUUCCAAACUGGUUAUCUAGAGUGCAGGAGAGGAGAGUGGAAUUCCUAGUGUAGCGGUGAAAUGCGUAGA
rnacentral:rRNA from 1 species